AUGGAGCCCCGAGAGGGGACACGAGGAUGUCCCCAACAGCCGCCCCAACUCCCAGGUGGGUGCCCGACAGACCCCAUGGACCCCACGGCCCCAAGUGUCCCCAAGUGUCCCCCACGGCCCCAAGUGUCCCCAGGGGUCCCCAAAUGUUCACCGCGGCCCCAUGUCCCCAAGGGUCCCCACAUCCCCAAGGGUCCCCACAUCCCCAAAGGUCCCCAUGUCCCCAAAGGUCCCCACGUCCCCAAGGGUCCCCAUGCCCCCAAGGGUCCCCACGCCCCCAAGGGUCCCCAUGCCCCCAAGGGUCCCCACGUCCCCAAAGGUCCCCACGCCCCCAGCUGUCCCCACACCCCCAGGAGCCUCGUAUCCCUGAGAGUCCCCCAUGGUCCCCACGUCCCCGAGCAUCUCCACGUCUCCUGCAUGUCCCCAUGUCCCCAAGAAUCCCUGUGUCCCCGUGACCCCAAGGGUCUCCACGUCCCCAUUGGUCCAUGUGUCCCCACAUCCCCAAGUGUCCCCAAAGACUCCCCACGUCCUCCAAAGGAUGGAUGUUCCAACACAUGGAGCCGCCAUGCCCCAAAUGUCCACCACGGCUCCAUGUCCCCAAAGGGUCCCCAGAGGUCCCCAAAGGGUCCCCUGCUCCCCCCAUUUACCCAAGACUCCCCACAUCCUCCGGAGUCCCCAAAGGGUCCCCAGAGGUCCCCGUGUCCCCAUAUCCCCAAGUGUCCCCAAAGACUCCCCACGUCCUCCAAAGGAUGGAUGUUCCAAUGCAUGGAGCCGCCAUGCCCCAAAUGUCCACCAUGGCCCCAUGUCCCCAAAGUGUCCCCAGAGGUCCCCGUGUCCCCACAUCCCCAAGCGUCCCCAAAGACUCCCCACAUCCUCGAAAGUCCCCAAAGUGUCCCACGCGCCCCCCAUUUACCCAAGACUCCCCACAUCCUCCGGAGUCCCCACAGUGUCCCCAGAGGUCCCCAAAGGGUCCCCUGCUCCCCCCAUUUACCCAAGACUCCCCACAUCCUCUGGAGUCCCCAAAGGGUCUCCAGAGGUCCCCGUGUCCCCACAUCCCCAAGCGUCCCCAAAGACUUC
rnacentral:lncRNA from 1 species